rnacentral:lncRNA from 1 species
GUUUCCCCAAGAGAGUGAUUGGCUGGUUCUGGGCACAUUGAACAGACCAUGGCUUUUUAGGCAGCAUUUAAAUAGCCCAGUACUACGGUGCAGACAUGAGCAGUAACACGAGUUACUAUCUGGACCACAUGCCACAGAAUUCAGAUUAUAAUUAUCCCUGGCAUAUCCACACCGGGCGGCUGCUGCAAAUCAGUCACUGAAGUUCCAAGGAAUCCACAAAAAGGUCGGUGCAAAGCCACCCAGUAUGAGUGCUUCAACUACACCGUUCUUCCUCUUGGAUGCAAACAGCCAGGCUCAAGGAGCUAACCACAGCAGUGCUGCAGGAAGGCCAGAGCCAUCGUACGCCGUUCUCAAGUUCAUGGAGAGCUUCUGCCUCAUCAGUGCCGCCUGUGGGAUGGUGGGAAAUGGCAUAGUUCUAUGGUACCUUGGCUUCUGCAUCCGCAGAAACCACUUCACUGUCUACAUCCUAAACCUGGCCGCUGCUGACUUUGGCUAUCUCCUCUGCAUCGCCAUUGAGACUGUCCAGUACCUGAUGCAGUUCAACGUAGGGGUCCAGUUUGGGAUAUUCCUCUUCCUGGAUCUUUUCACGUAUGGGACUGGCUUGUAUCUCCUGACAGCCAUCAGCAUUGAAAGGUGCCUCUCCGUCCUCUGCCCCAUCUGGUGCCGAAGUCACCGCCCAAAGCACUUGUCUGCCAUCAUCUCCGGCCUGCUCUGGUGCCUCUCUCUGCUACUGAACACAGUUGGCUACAUUCUGUGCUCCAUCCACCCCUCUGGCAGCUGCCGGAUGCUGCUCAUUACCAUUGGCGUCUUGGAUUUCCUCGUCUGCACCCCCCUCAUGCUGUUCUUCAGCCUGACCCUCUUCCUCAGAGUCAAGUGCAGCUCCCAGAAGUUCCGGACAGGACGGCUCUUCACCGUCAUCAUGCUCACCGUGCUCUUCUUCCUCAUUUUUGCUGUUCCUCUCAGCGUCCUCAUCCUCUUUGACUUCUUGGGCUACAAAUUCCUCUAUUCGCCCGAGAUCGGCUUUGUGCUGUCCUGUGUGAACAGCAGUCUCAACCCCGUCAUUUACUUCCUUGUGGGGAGCUACAGGGACCGGAGAAUCAAAUUCACCCUCAGACUGGCAUUCCAGAGGGUCUUUGAAGACUCAGCAGAUGACAAAGAGGAACGGGAUACCCGAGACACGAUAACGAUGUCCUCCUAAUAUCAUUCACUAAGAGAGCCCUGGAGAUGGGAGGUGGCCGUUCACAGAGCUGAAGAACUCUGAGGUACUGCGGGAGGUCCAUCCCGCCCAGCCUUAACAGCCUUCAUUCUGAACACCUGCCUUCUCGCUGGUUAUUUGAAGCUCUGCCCAUGUUAGGACUACAUUGCUUUUCAGCGGCCAUUAAAUGAUAAGGUGAAAUGUCUCAAUGGCUGCGUUUCAUCACAGGAAUCCUGCUUAGUUUAUCUGUCAAUAAAGCUCUGUUUUUCAGAGCAUUAAUAUUCAGUCUCUUUUUUUACGCAGACCUCUGGCGAUGAGGGGGAUCUGUGAUCUCCCUGUUGAAAUCAGAUAAGAAGUGAGUCCAACUCCCUUAAUUUUAAGUAUCUGUAUGUCAGCGCCACAUGCAGUCUUUGUGGCUCAUAGCGUGAAUGAUACUUUGCUUCCCAAUGUGAGCAUUUCAAUCAGUGAAAAGCUUCACAUUAUGGAAGUCUCUGUUAAUUGGUUAAUAGUUAUUAGUUAAAAGGAGGGUUUAGCUGCAGCAAGCAUUGGGUUGUUAUUUCUUCCCUUCACAGACAAUAACAACCCGUGGCAUCCAACACUUCUUGACCUACCAGAAGAAGUAAGUUCAAAGAAGGGAAAAAAAAUACAAUAAAGCAGAAAAUGGAAGAUAAACACCUAUCAGAAAUUUGCAACAAAUUCUUUUCCAGACCCAACGCCUGGACACAUAAGAUAUGAUUGUUUGAAAUGUUAGACCAUCACUCCACACAAUAUUUGCUCUUUUAACCCAAAUCAAUAGUGGUCACCCCAACCUCUGUGGUUGCUUUCUGCUUCCUGUUUACAGUUUCUGAAAGCUGAAAAUUGAGUCCCAUUUCUAUUAUUCUUUAAUUUUUAAUGCCAUUUUUUCUGCGACGUACACGUAGUUGAUUCAGGCCAGGCCUGCUGUCAUCAGCUGUCUUUGAGUGAGAUUUUCUUUACUUCUGACUUCUACUGAUGGGGGGAAGAGACUGUCCAUUUAUCUGAAAGCAUGUUAAAAUGUAUUCUUCUUAUUAUCUGUAAUGAUUUUAUCACUGGGAGAGAAGAGGCUCAGCUCAUUUCCUUUAUUAUUAAAAAUGUUCCAAGCCACU